AUUCCUUCCCUCUUCCUAGACGAAAUAAUAUGACUUUCAGGAUUGUUGUCUUCGUCUCCCUGAUGGUUGGCGUUUUUGCUGACUCUGGGCCCAGGUACAGUCCACCCCCUCCAGCCUACAACCCUCCCGCCCCAGCCUACAGUGCCCCUGCACCUGCCCCGUCAGGACCUGCACAGUACGACUUCAACUAUGCCGUGAA